CUUGUUUUGUUGGUAUUAUAAAAGAGCCUUUUUGCACACACAUUCAGUGUGAAAUACAGGAACAGAAAGUAGAAGUUCUGGGAGAAAACUGGAGCACCUGUCAACAUUGUAAAUGAGCAAUCUGCCGAGUGGAUCAGCAGGUGGCUCUCAAAAGGACUGGAAAUAUAGAGACAUAAUGUCCUUCCUUUUUCCCCCACUUGCAGCCAAGAAGCUCAGAAGAGCAACUCGAGUAAUUCACAAACAGCUGAUGUAGAAGACAAGAAGAGAUCUGGUACAUCACUGUUCGUAACUGGAUCUGAUGAACAAUCCUGUGGGGUAUUACCCCUACUAUACAACAGCUGCAGAGGACCACAUCUAGAUCUGGAUCUCAGGCCAACAAUCUUUGGAAAGAGGGAAACCCUCCAGGUCAUGAAGCCCCAAAGAGCAGACAUCUAGACCAACAGUGGCACAAAGGACUCACAAAGGAGGUCACAAAACCCUGAUAUUGUGGAGAAGCUGAUGUCAGUUCUUUAGCAGCCAGUUCCAAAACCUUUCUUCAGACUGGGCAAGGA